CCCUUAGAUGUCCGGGGCUGCACGCGCGCUACACUGAAGGAAUCAGCGUGCUAAAACCAUUGUCGAAAGGCAUUGGUAAACCCAUUAAAAUCCUACGUGAUUGGGAUCGGGAAUUGCAAUUAUUUCCCUUGAACGAGGAAUUCCCAGUAAGUGUGGGUCAUAAGCUCGCGUCGAUUACGUCCCUGCCCUUUGUACACACCGCCCGUCGCUGCCCGGGACUGAGCCGUUUCGAGAAAAGCGGGGACUGCUGCUGUCGGGGCUUUCGGGCCUUGGCUUCGGUGGAAACCGCUUUAAUCGCAGUGGCUUGAACCGGGCAAAANUCGUAACA
rnacentral:rRNA from 1 species